UACGGAGGGUGCGAGCGUUGUCCGGAAUCACUGGGCGUAAAGGGCGCGUAGGCGGCUCAUGAAGGCUGUGGUGAAAGUCCGGGGCUCAACCUCGGAUCGGCCGUGGCGACUCGUGGGCUGGAGCACUGUAGAGGCGGGUGGAAAUCCGGGUGUAGCGGUGGAAUGCGUAGAGAUCCGGAAGAACACCAGUGGCGAAGGCGGCCCGCUGGGCAGUGGCUGACGCUGAAGCGCGACAGCGUGGGGAGCAAACAGG
rnacentral:rRNA from 1 species